CUGGGCUGGGCUGGGCUGGGGUGAGCAGAGCUGAGCAGAAGCAAGUAAGGCUGGGCUGGGCUGGGCUGGGCUGGGCUGGGCUGGGCUGGGCUGGGCUGACCUGACCUGACCUGGCCUGGCCUGGCCUGAUCAGGACCAACAGUGCUGGGCUGGGCUGGGCUGCGCUGAACUGAGCAAGACAAAGCAGGGCUGAGCUAGGCUAAAUAGAACUAAGCUUAGCUGAGUUGAGCUGGGCUGAUCAGGACUAAUAGGGCUGGGCUGAGCUAGGCUGGGCUGGGGUGAGCAAGCCAAACAGAGCUGAGCUGGGCUUUGCUGACCUGGGCUGAGCUGGGCUGGGCUGGCCUAGGCUGAGCUAGGCUGGGCUGGGCUGGGCUGGGCUGAGCUGCACUGGACUCGGCUGGGCUGAGCUGGGCUGCGCUGGACUGAACAGGACAAAGUAGGACCAACCAGGGCUAAGCUGAGCUGAGCUAUGCAGGACCAACAGGGCUGCACUGGGCUGAGCUGAGCAGAGCUAAGCUGGGCUGAACUGAGUUGGACUGAGCAGAACCAAGCAAGGCUGAGCUGGGCUGAGCUGCGCUGUACUGAUCUUGGCUGAGAUGGACCAAGCUAAACUGAGUUGAGUUGUGCUGAGCAGGACCAACAGGGCUGGGCUGGGCUGAGCAGAGCGGAGCUAAACUGAGCUGGGCAGAGCUAGACUGAGCAGGAUCAAGAGGGCUGAGCUGGGCUAAGCAGAGCCAAGCAGGGCUGAGCUUGGCUGAAUAAGACCAACAGGGCUGGGCUGGGCUGGGCUGAACUGAGCAGAGCUAACUUGAGCUGAACUGAGCUGGACUAAGCAGGACCAAGAGGGCUGAGGUGGGCUGAGCUGAACUGGACUAAGCAGAACCCAGCAGAACUAACUAGGGCUGAGUUGAGCUGAGCUGGGCUGAAUUUCUCUGUGUAGGACCAACAGGGCUGAGCUUAGCUGGGCUGGGCUGGGCUGGGGUGAGCAGAGCUGAGCAGAGCCAAGUAAGGCUGGGCUGGGCUGGGCUGGGUUGGGCUGAGCUGGGCUGAGCUGGGCUGAGCUGGGCUGAGCUGAGCUGAGCUGGGCUGGGCUGGGCUGAGCUGAGCUGAGCUGAGCUGACCUGACCUGACCUGACCUGGCCUGAUCAGGACCAACAGGGCUGGGCUGGGCUGAACAGGACAAAGCAGGGCUGAGCUAAGCUAAACAGAGCUAAGCUUAGCUGAGUUGAACCACUGGGAUGAUCAGGACUAACAGGACUAGGCUGGGCUGGGCUGGGCUGGGGUGAGCAGAGCUGAGCAGAAGCAAGUAAGGCUGGGCUGGGCUGGGCUGGGCUGGGCUGACCUGACCUGGCCUGGCCUGAUCAGGACCAACAGUGCUGGGCUGGGCUGGGCUGGGCUGAACUGAGCAAGACAGAGCAGGGCUGAGCUAGGCUAAAUAGAGCUAAGCUUAGCUGAGUUGAGCUGGGCUGAUCAGGACUAACAGGGCUGGGCUGAGCUAGGCUGGGCUGGGCUGAGCUGGGCUGAGCUGGGCUGAGCUGAGCUGACCUGACCUGACCUGACCUGAC
ensembl:lncRNA